UACAGAGGCCUCGAGCGUUAGGCGGAAUCACUGGGCUUAAAGCGUGUGUAGGCGGAGUUCUAAGUACCUUGUGAAAUCCCACCGCUCAACGGUGGAACCGCUUGGUAUACUGGUUCUCUUGAGCCACUUAGGGGCUACCGGAACAAAUGGUGGAGCGGUGAAAUGCGCAGAUAUCAGGAGGAACACCGGCGGCGAAGGCGGGUCUCUGGGCCGAUACUGACGCUGAGGAGCGAAAGCGUGGGGAGCGAACAGG
rnacentral:rRNA from 1 species